ACGCUCGACACCUACGUGAGGCAGCAGUGAGGAAUAUUGGUCAAUGGGCGCUAGCCUGAACCAGCCAAGUAGCGUGAAGGAUGAAGGCUCUAUGGGUCGUAAACUUCUUUUAUAUAAGAAUAAAGUGCAGUAUGUAUACUGUUUUGUAUGUAUUAUAUGAAUAAGGAUCGGCUAACUCCGUGCCUGCAGCCGCGGUAAUCUGAGCGGGCUGGCAAGGC
rnacentral:rRNA from 1 species